rnacentral:lncRNA from 1 species
ACAAAUUCCUUUUAAUGCUUUCUUUUGGAAUAACUUGAAAUAGUCCAAGUUGCAUCUCAUGUUCAAAAUGAAUGAAUUAUUAUUGUUUUAAUAUGUAAGAACCUUAAGCCUGAUAUUUACCUUUUGAGUUAAAUAAAUGCAUCAUUCCAAUUCCAUAGGUUUGGCCAAUUGAGUCUGGUAUGAAUCGUAAAUUCUGAAGCCAUGUUUGGAUUAGAGUAUAAUUAUUUUUAUACUAUGGUUAUUUCGUUGGUCGAAACCUGAAAGUAGAAUGGUUCUCAGCUUAGAU